rnacentral:snoRNA from 1 species
CCCUCGACCAGCCCCAAUGAUUUAAGGGUGACUGUGUAUGAUCCCUUAGGAGGGGUGCCC